GAUGAACGCUGGCGGCGUGCCUAAUACAUGCAAGUCGAGCGAGCAGAUGAGGAGCUUGCUCCUCUGACGUUAGCGGCGGACGGGUGAGUAACACGUGGAUAACCUACCUAUAAGACUGGGAUAACUUCGGGAAACCGGAGCUAAUACCGGAUAAUAUAUUGAACCGCAUGGUUCAAUAGUGAAAGACGGUUUUGCUGUCACUUAUAGAUGGAUCCGCGCCGCAUUAGCUAGUUGGUAAGGUAACGGCUUACCAAGGCAACGAUGCGUAGCCGACCUGAGAGGGUGAUAGGCCACACUGGAAAGGAGACAGGGGCCAGACCCCUAAGGGAGGCAGAAGUAGGGAAUCUUCCGAAAUGGGCGAAAGCAUGACGGAGAAACGCCGCGUGAGUGAUGAAGGUCUUCGGAUCGUAAAACUCUGUUAUUAGGGAAGAACAAAUGUGAAAGUAACUAUGCACGUCUUGACGGUACCUAAUCAGAAAGCCACGGAUAACUACGUG
rnacentral:rRNA from 1 species